rnacentral:rRNA from 1 species
AGAGUUUGAUCAUGGCUCAGGACGGACGCUGACGGUGUGCUUUAGGCAUGCAAGUCGAACGAGAAAGCCCUUCGGGGUGAGUAAAGUGGCGAACGGGUGAGUAACACGUGGGCAACCUGCCCCUCGCAGGGGGACAACCGGAGGAAACUCCGGCUAAUACCCCGUAAGCUCUACACGCCGCAUGACGAGUAGAGGAAAGGUAGCUUCGGCCAUCCGGCGAGGGAUGGGCCCGCGGUGCAUUAGCUAGUUGGUGGGGUAACGGCCCACCAAGGCGACGAUGCGUAGCUGGUCUGAGAGGAUGAUCAGCCACACUGGGACUGAGACACGGCCCAGACUCCUACGGGAGGCAGCAGCCAGGAAUCUUGGGCAAUGGGCGAAAGCCUGACCCAGCAACACCGUGUGGGUGAUGAAGGCCUUCGGGUCGUAAAGCCCUGUUGAUAGGGACGAAGGGCGAAGGGUUAAUAGCCCGGAGCUUGACGGUACCUUUCGAGGAAGCCCCGGCUAACUACGUGCCAGCAGCCGCGGUAAUACGUAGGGGGCGAGCGUUGUCCGGAAUUAUUGGGCGUAAAGAGCGUGUAGGCGGUUCGGUAAGUCUGUCGUGAAAUCCUGGGGCUCAACCCUGGGCGUGCGAUGGAUACUGCCGGGCUAGAGGGUGGUAGAGGCGAGUGGAAUUCCCGGUGUAGCGGUGAAAUGCGCAGAUAUCGGGAGGAACACCAGUAGCGAAGGCGGCUCGCUGGGCCACACCUGACGCUGAGACGCGAAAGCUAGGGGAGCGAACAGGAUUAGAUACCCCCGUAGUCC